rfam:Schistosoma mansoni strain Puerto Rico chromosome W, complete genome
AUCCAACUGACGAGUCCCAAAUAAGACAAAACGCACAUCAAACUGGAU